rnacentral:rRNA from 1 species
CCUACGGGGGGCAGCAGUGGGGGAUAUUGCACAAUGGGGGCAACCCUGAUGCAGCGACGCCGCGUGAGCGAUGGAGUACUUCGGUAUGUAAAGCUCUGUCAGCAGGGAAGAGAAUGACGGUACCUGACCAAGAAGCCCCGGCUAAAUACGUGCCAGCAGCCGCGGUAAUACGUAUGGGGCAAGCGUUAUCCGGAUUUACUGGGUGUAAAGGGAGCGUAGGCGGCAGGGCAAGCCUGAUGUGAAAGCCCGGGGCUCAACCCCGGGACUGCAUUGGGAACUGCCCCGCUCGAGUGCCGGAGGGGCAGGCGGAAUUCCUAGUGUAGCGGUGAAAUGCGUAGAUAUUAGGAGGAACACCAGUGGCGAAGGCGGCCUGCUGGACGGUGUACUGACGCUGAGGCUCGAAAGCGUGGGGAGCAAACAGGAUUAGAUACC